rnacentral:rRNA from 1 species
GGGCCCGCACAAGCGGUGGAGCAUGUGGUUUAAUUCGAUGAUACGCGAGGAACCUUACCAGGGCUUAAAUGUAGAACGACCGAUUUGGAAACAAGUCUUCUCUUUGAGCGGUCUACAAGGUGCUGCAUGGUUGUCGUCAGCUCGUGCCGUGAGGUGUCGGGUUAAGUCCCAUAACGAGCGCAACCCCUAUUUCUAGUUGCCAGCGGUUCGGCCGGGGACUCUAGAGAAACUGCCAGCGUAAGCUGUGAGGAAGGUGGGGAUGACGUCAAAUCAUCAUGCCCCUUAUGUCUUGGGCUUCACGCAUGCUACAAUGGCCGGUACAGAGGGCUGCAAUACCGCAAGGUGGAGCGAAUCCCAAAAAGCCGGUCUCAGUUCGGAUUGAGGUCUGCAACUCGACCUCAUG